rnacentral:rRNA from 1 species
GCAUAUCAAUAAGCGGAGGAAAAGAAACCAACAGGGAUUGCCUCAGUAACGGCGAGUGAAGCGGCAAAAGCUCAAAUUUGAAGUCUAGCACCUUCGGUGUUCGAGUUGUAAUUUGAAGAUGGUAACCUUGGGUUUGGCUCUUGUCUAUGUUCCUUGGAACAGGACGUCAUAGAGGGUGAGAAUCCCGUCUGAUGAGAUGCCCAUUCCUAUGUAAGGUGCUAUCGAAGAGUCGAGUUGUUUGGGAAUGCAGCUCUAAGUGGGUGGUAAAUUCCAUCUAAAGCUAAAUAUUGGCGAGAGACCGAUAGCGAACAAGUACCGUGAGGGAAAGAUGAAAAGCACUUUGGAAAGAGAGUUAAACAGUAUGUGAAAUUGUUGAAAGGGAAACGAUUGAGUCAGUCGUGCUCUUUGGAUUCAGCCGAUUCUGCCGGUGUACUUCCUUUGAGUGGGGUCAACAUCAGUUUUGAUCGCUGGAUAAAGGCAGGAGGAACGUAGUACCCUCGGGUAAACUUAUAGCCUCUUGUCACAUACAGUGGUUGGGACUGAGGAACGCAGCACGCCCUUAUGGCCGGGAUUCGUCCACGUACGUGCUUAGGAUGUUGACAUAAUGGCUUUAAACGACCCGUCUUGAAACACGGACC